rnacentral:rRNA from 1 species
AGCAGCCGCGGUAAUUCCAGCUCCAAUAGCGUAUAUUAAAGUUGUUGCAGUUAAAAAGCUCGUAGUUGAAUUUCGGGACCAAUAUGUCGGUCGUGCUUCGGUACGUACUUGCAUUAUUGGUUUCUCCCUUCUGAAGAACCUUGAUGUCAUUAAUUUGGUGUCUUGGGGAAUCAGGACUGUUACUUUGAAAAAAUUAGAGUGUUUAAAGCAGGCUCACGCUUGAAUACAUUAGCAUGGAAUAAUGAAAUAGGACGUUUGAUUCUAUUUUGUUGGUUUCUAGGAUCGACGUAAUGAUUAAUAGGGAUAGUUGGGGGCAUUAGUAUUCAAUUGUCAGAGGUGAAAUUCUUGGAUUUAUUGAAGACUAACUACUGCGAAAGCAUUUGCCAAGGAUGUUUUCAUUAAUCAAGAACGAAAGUUAGGGGAUCGAAGACGAUCAGAUACCGUCGUAGUCUUAACCAUAAACUAUGCCGACUAGGGAUCGGAUGAUGUUAUUUUGAUGACUCAUUCGGCGCCUUACGGG